GAGUGGCGAACGGGUGAGUAACACGUGGGUAACCUGCCCAUCAGAAGGGGAUAACACUUGGAAACAGGUGCUAAUACCGUAUAACAAUCAAAACCGCAUGGUUUUGAUUUGAAAGGCGCUUUCGGGUGUCGCUGAUGGAUGGACCCGCGGUGCAUUAGCUAGUUGGUGAGGUAACGGCUCACCAAGGCCACGAUGCAUAGCCGACCUGAGAGGGUGAUCGGCCACAUUGGGACUGAGACACGGCCCAAACUCCUACGGGAGGCAGCAGUAGGGAAUCUUCGGNAAUGGACGAAAGUCUGACCGAGCAACGCCGCGUGAGUGAAGAAGGUUUUCGGAUCGUAAAACUCUGUUGUUAGAGAAGAACAAGGAUGAGAGUAACUGUUCAUCCCUUGACGGUAUCUAACCAGAAAGCCACGGCUAACU
rnacentral:rRNA from 1 species